rnacentral:rRNA from 1 species
GGGUCACUAGGUUUGUCGUGCCACCGGUACGUACUGGUCUCACUGAUUCCUCCUUCCUUAAGAACCGUAUGCCAUUAAUUUGGUGUUGCGGGGAAACAGGACUGUUACUUUGAAAAAAUUAGAGUGUUUAAAGCAAGCUAACGCUUGAAUACAUUAGCAUGGAAUAAUGAAAUAGGACGAUCGAUCCUAUUUUGUUGGUUUCUAGGAUUGACGUA